rnacentral:misc_RNA from 1 species
GAUGAAGAACGUAGCAAAAUGCGAUAAGUAAUGUGAAUUGCAGAAUUCAGUGAAUCAUCGAAUCUUUGAACGCACAUUGCGCCCGCUGGUAUUCCGGCGGGCAUGCCUGUUCGAGCGUCAUUUCAACCCUCAAGCCCCCGGGUUUGGUGUUGGGGAUCGGCUCUGCCCUUCUGGGCGGUGCCGCCCCCGAAAUACAUUGGCGGUCUCGCUGCAGCCUCCAUUGCGUAGUAGCUAACACCUCGCAACUGGAACGCGGCGCGGCCAUGCCGUAAAACCCCAACUUCUGAAUGUUGACCUCGGAUCAGGUAGGAAUACCCGCUGAACUUAAGCAUAUCAAAUAAGCGGAGGA